AGAGGCGUGUGUCUGCCUCCUCCCGCACCUGCUGCAGGGUCCUUGGCCUCCCAGAACCUUCUGGGUGCAGGGGAAGCUGGGGUGGAAACAGAGGAGGGGUAGGUGGGUCCUCCGCACCCACCUGGGUGCAGUGGGCACGUGGGCUGAGCUGCGGGAGGGAGCAAAGGCGAGACCCAGGGAGAAGGACAGAGGUGGGGAUGGAGACCCAGAGGGAGUAGCCGGCCUGCCCCCAGCCUCACGGAGAACUCCCGCCUAGGAAUACCGAGGCGCCGGGAGGGACAGAUGCGGAGGGCCUUAUGGAAGCGCAGAGCAGGGGACCCGGCCUGGCUUUGCGAGACUUCUCCACCGGCGUCCCGGAACACAGCCCCUCCUAGCGGGGUCUCCAGGACGGAGGAGGAGAAAGUAACGACCGGCCGGGACCAGUCCAGGUCGCUCCCAGGUGCCUCCCUCACAGAAGUGCCCCGGGGAGCUGGUGUCAUCUUAGAGAAAGUCCUUGGAGACAGAUUCUUUUACAGCCUGUUUGGGCUCACAGGGAAGCAAAUAUUCUUUGCGUGCGAAGGCAAGAGCAGGAAGCAUGAGAGAUGCUGAUUCCUGCCGUGUGACCGAGGGGGUGAGGGUUCCAGGAUCACGCCCCGCUCCGCCCUGGAACGGCAUGUCCCUCGGAGCCAGAGGGUGCAGGUGGCCACCUCCCACUGUCAGCUGCCCAAGGGGAAGGAGUCUGAGGCCCCCGCUGCUAGCAGAGCGGGCCCCAGUCCCCUCGGGUCACACAUCCAUGUCCUCGGCAUUUGUACCUCUGCCCGCCUGGUGAUGCAGAAGCCCACAGCCCCUGCAACCAGGACAAAUGAAGAUUUGGGGGUGGAGAAGCGAGCAGCCAAUCAUUAACUUUAUGGAGAACUGCUUGUGAGAAGCCGCAGGAGCCAGUGGCCGGCUGCGGCUGGAAACGCAGAAGCAGCUUCCCCAGAGGGUCCCAGCAUACACGGGGGGACUUGCUCACGAUUGCCUCACGGGAAAGCUAAGAAAUACUAAUUCUUAAUCUUUUUUUUAAUCUAUUUGGUGUUUUCCUGGGAAUAAUAAACAGAAGACUGCCACUAGUUAAAAAUA